rnacentral:rRNA from 1 species
AUUGAACGCUGGCGGCAGGCCUAACACAUGCAAGUCGAGCGGCAGCGGAAAGUAGCUUGCUACUUUGCCGGCGAGCGGCGGACGGGUGAGUAAUGUCUGGGAAACUGCCUGAUGGAGGGGGAUAACUACUGGAAACGGUAGCUAAUACCGCAUAACGUCGCAAGACCAAAGAGGGGGACCUUCUGGCCUCUUGCCAUCAGAUGUGCCCAGAUGGGAUUAGCUAGUAGGUGGGGUAACGGCUCACCUAGGCGACGAUCCCUAGCUGGUCUGAGAGGAUGACCAGCCACACUGGAACUGAGACACGGUCCAGACUCCUACGGGAGGCAGCAGUGGGGAAUAUUGCACAAUGGGCGCAAGCCUGAUGCAGCCAUGCCGCGUGUGUGAAGAAGGCCUUAGGGUUGUAAAGCACUUUCAGCGAGGAGGAAGGGUGGUGUGUUAAUAGCACAUCACAUUGACGUUACUCGCAGAAGAAGCACCGGCUAACUCCGUGCCAGCCGCCGCGGUAA